rnacentral:misc_RNA from 1 species
CAAAUCCUUCUAAAGAAAAUCUCCCAAAAUGAUCAUUCAACCGCAAAAAUGGGAAUGUGAAUUGAAAGAAAAUUUAAAAAGCCCAACUAAAUCUAGUGAGUACAUACAUUGCCAGCACAUAAAAGACUAGCAGCUUGAGGUCACAACUUGGGUAGGUUUGUCACAAGUUUGGAUAAUUUAUGAUAAAUUUUGAUCAGGUUUGAAAUGAAUUCGGAUAUUUAGACUAGUAAUCAAGUUCAGAUAAAGCUAUUUUCGUAUGUACCUAUUACUGUCCCAAACUCGAGUAUGCUUUGAGGCUUGAAGAACAACUGAAAUUAGAAGAUGGAGUAUUUUAAUCUUCAACCCACUCAGUUGUUUGUACCCGUUUAUCUCCCUUUCUCAAGGUUGGGAUUGUUAGAAAGGGUGAUUAUUGGAGGCAUGAUUAGAGGUGAAGAGAAGUUGUGGAUCUUGAUAUUAGAGUAAUUAAGAGACAUGGCUUGCAUGAAAUCAGAGAGGUCAUCGAUCAUGGUGUUAUAGCAAAAAGGGACACGGCUUGCAUGAAAUCAUAAAGGUCGUCGAUCGUUGGAGGCAACAAGGAGAUAUGGUCAGGUGGGUGGGAUUGGAAGCGGAGAGGGGUUGCAGACUAUCAACAAUGGAGGUAGAGAGGGAAGCAUUGACAUUGGCGGUGGUGAGACGGACAAAGACACAAGACAAAGAGCAUUAGGGUAUGUUUGGAUAGAGUGAGGAAAG